UAAAAUUCAUUAAUGAUCCUUCC
rnacentral:rRNA from 1 species